AGACCCGAAACCCGGUGAUCUAGCCAUGGGCAGGUUGAAGGUUGGGUAACACUAACUGGAGGACCGAACCGACUAAUGUUGAAAAAUUAGCGGAUGACCUGUGGCUGGGGGUGAAAGGCCAAUCAAACCGGGAGAUAGCUGGUUCUCCCCGAAAGCUAUUUAGGUAGCGCCUCGUGAAUUCAUCUCCGGGGGUAGAGCACUGUUUCGGCUAGGGGGCCAUCCCGGCUUACCAACCCGAUGCAAACUGCGAAUACCGGAGAAUGUUAUCACGGGAGACACACGGCGGGUGCUAACGUCCGUCGUGAAGAGGGAAACAACCCAGACCGCCAGCUAAGGUCCCAAAGUCAUGGUUAAGUGGGAAACGAUGUGGGAAGGCCCAGACAGCCAGGAUGUUGGCUUAGAAGCAGCCAUCAUUUAAAGAAAGCGUAAUAGCUCACUGGUCGAGUCGGCCUGCGCGGAAGAUGUAACGGGGCUAAACCAUGCACCGAAGCUGCGGCAGCGAACGUAUCACUUAAAGCGAUUCAGCGGGUUACGAUUGACGGAGCGAAGCGACGUCAAAGCGUAUACAAAGUCGAGUCGGUUUAAGGAUACGUUCGUUGGGUAGGGGAGCGUUCUGUAAGCCUGUGAAGGUGGCCUGUGAGGGUUGCUGGAGGUAUCAGAAGUGCGAAUGCUGACAUAAGUAACGAUAAAGCGGGUGAAAAGCCCGCUCGCCGGAAGACCAAGGGUUCCUGUCCAACGUUAAUCGGGGCAGGGUGAGUCGACCCCUAAGGCGAGGCCGAAAGGCGUAGUCGAUGGGAAACGGGUUAAUAUUCCCGUACUUGGUGUUACUGCGAAGGGGGGACGGAGAAGGCUAUGUUGGCCGGGCGACGGUUGUCCCGGUUUAAGCGUGUAGGUGUGUGUUCCAGGUAAAUCCGGUUCACUUUAACACUGAGGCGUGACGACGAGGCACUACGGUGCUGAAGCAACAAAUGCCCUGCUUCCAGGAAAAGCCUCUAAGCAUCAGGUAACAUCAAAUCGUACCCCAAACCGACACAGGUGGUCAGGUAGAGAAUACCAAGGCGCUUGAGAGAACUCGGGUGAAGGAACUAGGCAAAAUGGUGCCGUAACUUCGGGAGAAGGCACGCUGACACGUAGGUGAAGUGAUUUACUCA
rnacentral:rRNA from 2 species